AUUGAACGCUGGCGGCAUGCUUUACACAUGCAAGUCGAACGGUAACAGGCCGCAAGGUGCUGACGAGUGGCGAACGGGUGAGUAAUGCAUCGGAACGUGCCCAGUCGUGGGGGAUAACGCAGCGAAAGCUGUGCUAAUACCGCAUACGAUCUAUGGAUGAAAGCGGGGGACCGUAAGGCCUCGCGCGAUUGGAGCGGCCGAUGUCAGAUUAGGUAGUUGGUGGGGUAAAGGCCCACCAAGCCAACGAUCUGUAGCUGGUCUGAGAGGACGACCAGCCACACUGGGACUGAGACACGGCCCAGACUCCUACGGGAGGCAGCAGUGGGGAAUUUUGGACAAUGGGCGCAAGCCUGAUCCAGCAAUGCCGCGUGCAGGAAGAAGGCCUUCGGGUUGUAAACUGCUUUUGUACGGAACGAAAAGGUCUGGGUUAAUACCCUGGGCCGAUGACGGUACCGUAAGAAUAAGCACCGGCUAACUACGUGCCAGCAGCAGCCGCAGUAA
rnacentral:rRNA from 1 species